CUCCGAAACAACAGAAAGCACUUGACAGGCUUGCUCUCCAAUGAGAAGCCCCGGAAAAGUGUCGCGCGGAGGCGGAGCCACGCGGUACAGCCACCUCUGCGCCUGCUCAAAGGCCCUGGACACUUGGAGUCUAGAUGGGGAAACUGACAUGAAGAGGAGUCCAAAGUGACACAGUCAGGCCAGAAAUGUUGCUUCUGAAGUCCUGAGUCCACCUCCUAGCACUGCCAAGCAGUCCACCUGGAGGUGAUGAGAACUUCCAGGCUUUGGUAAUGGACAACUCUGUAUCCCUGGAGCCUUCAUUCCUUUUGGCAUUACAGAACCACAAGAAGUCAUCUAGAAUCAUUGAGAUUCUCAACUCCAUUGGGCAAACUGGAACCAGCAAAAUCUCAGAUAUCUAGAAUUGCCACUGCUUCCUUGACUCUGUGAUCAGUCUACAGCCACAGAAUCCUGAUUCCCUUUGGACAUUCUAGAAUGGCACUUUAAAAAAAAACAACCCACCCAGUG
rnacentral:lncRNA from 1 species